rnacentral:rRNA from 1 species
GAUAAUCGUCCCGCCUGGGGAGUACGGCCGCAAGGUUAAACUCAAAGAAAUUGACGGGGGCCCGCACAAGCGGUGGAGCAUGUGGUUUAAUUCGAUGCAACGCGAAGAACCUUACCUGGUCUUGACAUCCAUAGAUUUCUGCAGAGAUGUGGGAGUGCCUUCGGGAACUAUGAGACAGGUGCUGCAUGGCUGUCGUCAGCUCGUGUUGUGAAAUGUUGGGUUAAGUCCCGCAACGAGCGCAACCCUUAUUCUUUGUUGCCAGCGAUUUGGUCGGGAACUCAAAGGAGACUGCCGUUGAUAAAGCGGAGGAAGGUGGGGACGACGUCAAGUCAUCAUGGCCCUUACGACCAGGGCUACACACGUGCUACAAUGGCGUAUACAAAGGGAAGCGAAGGUGCGAGCUGGAGCGGAUCUCAUAAAGUACGUCUAAGUUCGGAUUGGAGUCUGCAACUCGACUCCAUGAAGUCGGAAUCGCUAGUAAUCGUAGAUCAGAAUGCUACGGUGAAUACGUUCCCGGGCCUUGUACACACCGCCCGUCACACCAUGGGAGUGGGUUGCACCAGAAGUAGAUAGCUUAACCGCGAGGGGGGCGUUUACCACGGUGUGAUUCAUGACUGGGGUGAAGUCGUAACAAGGUAACCA